ACUGCUCCUAGAGGCAUGGCAGGUGUGACUUCUGUGUCAUGUGUGCAACAGUAGGCGGCAGAGAGGAGAAAGGCUAUGUCUAUUCUCAGUGUUCUGACCUGUGAACAUUUGAAUGAUUAGUAGCCUAACAUU